rnacentral:rRNA from 1 species
AGGUCUGUGAUGCCCUUAGAUGUCCUGGGCUGCACGCGCGCUACACUGAUGCAUCCAUCGAGUUUGUCCUGUCCCGAAAGGGUUGGGUAAUCUUUAGUGUGCAUCGUGUCGGGGAUUGAUUUUUGCAAUUCUAAAUCAUGAACGAGGAAUGCCUAGUAUGCGCAAGUCAUCAGCUUGUGCAGAUUACGUCCCUGCCCUUUGUACACACCGCCCGUCGCUCCUACCGAUCGAGUGAUCCGGUGAAUUAUUCGGACCGUGGCUUUUCCGAUUCGUC